GCCUUCGUGACUGCUGCAGCUCAGACUGGCUCAGUGUCUCUGGAGGAAUUGUCUCUCACCCUGCCAAGUAGACGCAUAUUGACAUGGAAUGGAUGGUGUCUGCUGUGGUUCUAACUCCUUAUGCCACUAUUCCAGUCUACAGUGAUUGCAUCUUUGUGAAGCCCCACUUAGUGACCAUCUGGGCCUCUGCACAAAUUCCAAUGGCAAGUAGGUAUGUGUGUGGGACCCAGUGCCUGGGACCAGGUUUGUGAGCCCUGCUGUCUUGUGAGCAUGAGACACUGUGUGACCAUGCGUAUGAGCUGUCAGUGAGCACAUGCUUGUUCAUUCAUUUGUGGUUUCACUUGUUCUAUGUGUGAAAGGAAAAUAUCUUGGGCCCCUUAAAGCUGGGAACCACUCAGGGCAAAUCUGCCUCCCAUUCUAUUCAAGUCAUCCUUUCGCUCACAGAGAUAGAUUGCCUCCACUGCCUCUUUUGGAAAGACUCACCAGAAACUCAAAUGAAUGUAACCAUCUGUCUCGCACCAUCUGAGACCUGGAAGACCCCAAUGGUGGGGACUGGGUGGGGUGGAGUGGGGUGUGUGCUUGCUUUGAGCUGUCUCUGCCUUUCUGGACGGAACUAAAGUACAUCUUACGUAUUGAUUGAUGUCUCAUGUCUCCCUAAAUAUAUAAAAGUAAGCUGUACUCCGACCACCUUAUGCACAUGUCAUCAGGACUUCCUGAGGCUGUGUCACAGGUGUGUCCACAACCUUGGCAAAAUAAACUUUCUAAAUUAACUGAGACCCAUCUCAGAUUUUCUGGGUUCACAUUUUAAUAACCACGGGGAGAUUCUGAGUGGAGAUAUUCCUGACCUUUAACUAAUCUAUCUGUGCUUGGUACCAGCAUGAGCUAUCUUUAUGGCUCAAACCAAUAGGACAAUUUGCUGAGGUCUGGGAGCACCCCCUCCAGAGAAUCCUUGAGCUCUCAAAAUUUGGUUGAGAUCUAAAGUUUAUUUUGCUGUAUAACUUUUUUUUUUGAGUUUUACUUGCUUCCAAUAGGAAGGCAAGUUUUCCUGCUUCCAUGAUGAUGGAAGGCAGGUAACUCCUUUAUAGAGUUUGAGCUCGCUUCCAACAGGGAAGAUGAGUUUUGUUUUUGUUUCUUCCUGCUUCUAGGAUGGUAGAGAGCAAUCUACAGCCUGAGACCCAUCACUAGGUAAGAAACUGGCUUGGGAUUCUGUCUUGCAAAUUCCUCUUAAAUGACUAAAGUUAGCAUUUAACAGCCAGCUGUUAAUUUCUGCUUACACUUACAGUGCUCAGAAAUCAUAUAACUUGUGUGAUCAUUGUUAGUGUAGCAGCAUUUUGUCCUAGCUGAAAUAUGGUAAUAAGAUUAGAAAAAUCUUUUUUUGGCCAGGUGCAGUGGCUCACGCCUGAAUGUCAGCACUUUGGGAGGCCAAGGUAGGCGGAUCACCUGAGGUCGGUAGUCUGGGAGUUCAAGACCAGCCUGGCCAACGUGGUGAAACCUGUCUCUACUAAAGAACACAAAAAUUAGGCCGGGUGCGGUGGCUCAUGCCUGUAAUCCCAGCACUUUGGGAAGGCGAGGCAGGUGGAUCAUGAGGAGUUGGAGACCAGCCUGACCAACAUGGUGAAACCUUAUCUC